GCCAGCUUUAAUAUAAUUGCCUCAGCAAUUGCUUCAAUAUAGUGCACUGUCCUAUCUUAUCUUACUACUGGUAGUUUUAGCUUUUAUAUUGUGUAGUAAAUGAUUCCAAUUAAGAUCUUCUGUCUGUUCACUUGUUGCUUUGUCUGA